CGUCGGGGUUGGCCAAAUUGCGCCCUUUGCCCCAUUUGCAAGCAAAGCCAAGAAUCGACAACUGACCUUCUUUAUCAAUGCCGCUUCAGUAUGUGCAUUUGGAAUGUCAUCCUUCCUUGGCUAGGCAUGCAUGACAUCCUUCCAGCGACUUGGGUCGUGAUAGCUUCGGUAAGGGAUUGGUGGAAUGGUAACCUCCUGUUUCAACGUGGAUCCCCCAAAGCGCUUGCCUCCUUGAUGAUGCUUAUUUCAUGAGAGAUUUGGUCGGAGCACAAUGCUAGGGUAUUUCCUAACACCGCCGCCCCUUCGAUGAUCAUUAUUGCCAUGAUCAAAGAGGAGAUCUCCCUUUGGGCUUUGACCGGUGCCAAGCAUAUGAGUGUUGUAAUUCCAUGA
rnacentral:rRNA from 1 species